CUCGUAAUAUGAUGUGUCAAAGGGGACGACUGACGUUGACGGGUGAAAAAGGAAAUUUGCAUACAAUGGUUAUUUUUUUCUUCCAUUUAUUUAUUUCUUUUAAUAAAAAUUUCUAGGUUUUCUUUCAUGAAAUACGAAUAGAAAUUCCCAUUUCAUUCAUCUUUGCUCAACAUUGCGAUUCUUCCUCAACUUUCUCACGCCGCAUACGAUUUCGGCCGUCAUCAUCCUACGCUUCAAGCUCGCCUCGGUGGUUCUGCCUUCGUCGUGCGGCCGGAGAGCCGAAAGAUUUUCAAUUUGGAAACUGUAAAAGAAAGUCUCUCUCGCAUUCUCUUUUUCUGUUGCGGUAAGAUGAUUGAAGAUGCCGGUCAGUUGCAAAUCCCAAUCCUUAAAUAUUCUUUAGAAAUGGUACUUGGAACCGUCGCCCGAACGGUUACAACGCCUCCUCUCAACCGUCUGCUAACUCCUCUUUUGCUGACACGUGCUCUCAACCGACCAAGCUAUUAUUCUCACUCGCUCUCCGCAGCAUCCGACCUCCACAACAACCAACAAUUCGAACCAACCGACUUGUCUAUCCGAUCGCAAACCAACCGACUUGUUGGUCCGACCACAGACCUUCCGACUUAUUGGUCCGACCGUAGACCUUUCAACUUGUUGGUCCGACCACAGACCUUCCGACUUGUUGGUCCGACCUCAGACCUUCCGAUUUGUUGGCCCGACCGCAAAUCUUCCGACUUGCAGACCAUCUGACUUGUUGGUCCGACCGCAGACUUUCCGACUUGUUGGUCCGAUAACAAACAUUCCAACUUGCAGACCAUCCGACCCGCUGACCAACUGACCUGCGGACCGUCCGACCUGUAGACUGUCCGACUUGCAGACUUACCGCCCUAUGGACCAUCCAACCUGCGGACUUUCCGACCUGUAGACUAUCCGACUCGCAGACUUAUCGUCCUAUGGACCAUCCGACUUGCGGACCGUCCGACCUGUAGACCAUCCGACCUGCCUAUUUUCUCAAAAAAAAUGCCCAGUUUACCCGAUUAUCUUGAAAUACCCCUUAAAAGUAACAGACCCAAUUACAGGCCCACUUUUUCUUCUAACUUGGGCUUUUUAACCUAAUUAUAAAUUUCAUACGUAACAAUAAUAUUUAAAUUCCACAAUCCAUGUUUUCAUUAGUUGCUGUAGGUAAUUGUUCCGGGGAAAGAAAGUAUUGACAAAUAUAACUGUUUAGCCUAGGUUUCUUUCAUUGCAUGAGUAAUUUAUCUUAUUUACUGUGUUAUAUUAAUAUGCAUUCGUAUAUCUUUAUUUGCUUGUAAGAAAAAAAAAAAAAGGUAUCCAAUUAAAACUAGUAUUUUGGUUGUUAUAAGAAUGAUUCUAGGAACUUACGACUAGGAAAUGCAUGUCAUUUAAAGAUUGUUAAAUUUUAGCGAGUAUGCCACUUUUAUUGUACAGUUGUAUGAGAUUCUUAUUAGACAUGUUCAUAUAAAGUUCAAUUACUUUCGUCGGGCCGACUGCAAUUGAUUUGAAGCGUCCAAUUGGAGUUAAAAAGGCGAAGGCUAGAAAAAAAUUCAAAUAAUCAAUGACAACGAAGGAUAAAGAAUCAUGAAGAGUCUAAGUAUCGGUUGCUCGAACAAUUACUGCUAGUUUGAUGAAACCUGAAUCUACAAGUAAUAAAAGAUGGUCCAGAAUUGAGGAGUUUGAUCGAAGAAGUCAAGUGCAACUAGAUGAUGAAUAUGAGUUGGUCUCUAAAAGAUCUAAAAAGAAGGAUUCAAUAAACACAGAAAAAAAUAUGUGAAUAUAAUGAAAGAGCUUGAAAACAUGAGUGACAGGCCGAUGGCUUCAAUAGCAAGACUAGAAGAACUGCAUGAGAACAAUAUACGCACCGAGUAUUAAGAGAAAUUAUACAAAAUGCAGAAUGAGCAAUUGUAGUACUGCACACGAGGUUAUAACAGGUUGCAAUCAAUUUUUCAAUCGAUUGACGAAGCAAAUCCUCUGAAUGCGGAUGUGGCCUAUACCAGUGGCAGACGUAUGGAGAGUCGGAAAAGGCUUUUCUAUGAGACAAGUGGAGAUGAGUGUUCCACGGAGAAAUGAACACCUCAUUAUGUGUUUGUGAUGCAAGGUAUCUUUAUUUUGUACUUGAAUGUGCUAUAUACUUAAUUGUGCACGUUCGAUCUUUGUUUUGUGUUUGUUGUAUAUUUGUAGAUCUCGUAUGUAUGUCAUGUUCGGUAUACAAUGCUACCUUUUAUGGUGCACGUUUUAUAUCAUUUUGUGCUUGUUGCAUGAUUGUUGAAUGAUGCUAGAUAAUGCUUAUCCCAUUUCACCUU